AUUGAACGCUGGCGGCAUGCCUUACACAUGCAAGUCGAACGGCAGCGCGGGUGCUUGCACCUGGUGGCGAGUGGCGAACGGGUGAGUAAUAUAUCGGAACGUACCUUAUUGUGGGGGAUAACGCAGCGAAAGCUGUGCUAAUACCGCAUAAUCCCUAAGGGGGAAAGCGGGGGACCGUAAGGCCUCGCGCAAUUAGAGCGGCCGAUACCUGAUUAGCUAGUUGGUGAGGUAAAGGCUCACCAAGGCAACGAUCAGUAGCUGGUCUGAGAGGACGAUCAGCCACACGGGGACUGAGACACGGCCCAGACUCCUACGGGGGGCAGCAGUGGGGAAUUUUGGACAAUGGGGGCAACCCUGAUCCAGCAAUGCCGCGUGAGUGAAGAAGGCCUUCGGGUUGUAAAGCUCUUUUGUCAGGGAAGAAACAGCAGCUCUAACACAGUUUGCGAAUGACGGUACCUGAAGAAUAAGCACCGGCUAACUACGUGCCAGCCGCCGCGGUAA
rnacentral:rRNA from 1 species